rnacentral:lncRNA from 1 species
AGAACUAAACUUCCUAAGAAAUACUAAUACCUUCAUUUUCCAAAAGUUGUAAACCAGAGCUGUAACCAAAAGAUAUUGAAUAAUACUUGCUUUUCCAAAACUCAUUUGCAUUGUACAGUAGUCUAAUAGUAAUACACAAAAGUUCAAAUACAAUUUUAAACAUAGCUUCUUUUCCUGGUUUAGUUCUCCUUAAAGAUACAAAAGUAACAACAGAUUUUGAUAAACAUAAAGUGAUAGAACAAAACUUUGCAUUUGAUACAAUACGAUGCUUAGAUUUCAAAACCUUUACCAGGUUAUUCCCUUAAAACCUGAUAAAAAUUCCAACAUUUCCAUACUACACACACAUCAACACCACACAUAUAAAUACGCAAGUAAACUUCAGCUCCAGAGCUCCAGAAAAUCAUUAACUUGUCCACUUAUGGACUACCUGAAAACAACAAGAAUAUAGGGAAUGAGCUUCACAAGCUCAGUAGGUACGGCAAAACAAUCAUUAUAACAAAGACUCCAACUCAACAUGCAUUUGGAUAGUGAAAGACAGUAAAUAUACUUUUCAACGAGGCAGAAGGAAUUGUACUUUAGAGACUGCUGCUGAACAAGUUUCAAGGACUUUAGAAACACAUAACAAGACUCAAAAUUUUGCUUUGAUUCAGAAGCAUCAUUCAAUUUAAAUUGUCUCAGUAAUAACUGAACUGGAAAAGGACAAGCUGAAUUACAACACCUUCUCAAAUGGAUUCGAAUACAUUGAAAUAGUAUAGCUCAUGACAAAUCCAAUUGGAGUACCAGCAAGAAUUAAAGACAUUCAUCUCAAGAUAACACUGUGAACAGAAACACAUCUUCAAUGGUGGAAAUAAAAGAUAAACUAGUCAAGGAAUGGAACCAGACUAACAAUGAACCAGCAAUAGAAGCUUUUAAAAACUCUAGGAUAGUAUCCACAAAUAUAAAGUUGAAGAUGAAAGGUUGCUGCUGCACUUUGGUCAGAAACCACAGACCCAAAAGUAACAUAAAUGACUAGGAAAAGGAGACAACCUCAAAGAUAACAUUGGAGUUGUAGAUAUCAAGUCUUUAUCAAAUAUAACAAGUAUCAACGGUAUUCAUGUAUGAGAUAAGAGAAGGCUAAUCAUAUGGAUAAUUUGACAACAAGGUCAACACAUAAGAAUACUCAUGAACCAACAGAAGUGUCAAUAGGAAUACUCAUGACACUCAUAGAACUUUCUUUCACUCGAAUUUCAACAAAUCCUUAAAAUGCCGGUUAGAGCCCACCGCCCAGCUAUACCACCGAGCAAACCCCGCACAUGCGGUACCCUGAUCAAGUUUAGGGUUAAACAACCCAAGGGAGUCACAAUCCCCACUCACAUAAUUCACCGGGCCUAACCGAACAGAAUAUUUGAAAUCCAAUCAUUUCUUUCCAGGAAGUUUCACUUUCCAAACCAACUGAUCAAACAAGGAUUUCAGAAAGAAACUUGAAAUCCCUUUUCAGAAUAUCAUAUGACACUGCCCAGAAAUAGUACUGUGACAUGGACCUCUGUUCUUUCAAUAGAAAGGAAUCUGAACGUACAGAGCAGAUCUUUAGGUGAAGAUCAAAGCAAUAGGUACACGAGUUUAGAACUAAUGACAACGAGGUAGAGAACCCGAGUUCACAAACUCAUAGAUGGCGAGAGGAAAUUAUCAAAGAAUGGAAUCUUGUCUCUAAAUAAAUUCAAACAGACAUCAGAAGAAUCAACUGAGCAAUUAACCAUAUAUAACAUGAUUGCAGCAACCCACAUUGAGAAGGAGAGAACCAGACUAACGACGUGAUUACUUGAACACAUUUGACUUUCUAGCAUUUAUCAUUCAAAGGUUAUUCUCAAAUUGUAGGAAUAUUUGGGAACAUUAAUAGACAAUGACCAAGAAGCAUGCGUCGAUCUCUAGUACAUACUACAGAGAAGACAUAAUCCAUUUAAAAUCAAGAACCCCAUGGCUUAGAGAAAUGAAAAGAAAUAACAAACUUGUGUUACAAUACUUGAUCUCAUUGAAGAUAUGAACAUAUAAAAAUCAGUAGCCUUCCAAGGGGUUCCAAUUAUAUGAUCAAAACAAGAAUGAGUAGUAAACCAGAUCGCUAAAGACCCUUUAAGAGAAGAGAUGCAAUGAAUCAAAUCCAUAUAUAAAAGAAUACCAAUUCAAUAAACAUGAUUAUAUGAGCUAGUACUUUGAAGUAACAGUUGAUUUACAUAAGCAUAGGCUCUCGACGAGAGGCGAAUCUUGAGAUCAUAAAACUCUGAGUAAGAGAGUAAUCAAGUCAAAGAACUAGAGCUAACUGACAAAUGGAUAUACCCUCAGUCUAAUACAGAAGGUAUAAGAGAUCAAUUCUCCAUUAGCAAGACUGAAAUUGGCAUGUACUUGAUAUGUAGAAUGUAUUUACUGUGACCAAACUUUUGUAAAGAAAAAGAAGAAGGAAUAAUAGAUACGUAUGCAAAUCUAAAAGAUAUAGUUUAGAAAACUCAUUGCCAAUAUUUAUCAGAUACGGCUAUCAUCCAAGUUGAACACCAAACCUUCAUUUUAAAAAUACCUUUGGAUUCACAAACAAAUCACAAAUCCACUAUAGGGAUAGUCACAGACAAAGCUUGGCUCUAAGAAAAUUCCACAAAUAAGAAGCUUUGGUUCAAAACUUAAUGCAAAGCAAGUCAGGAAUCCGUCCUUAAUAAUUGGUGACAAAACCAAUAGUAUAUAUGUAUAUAUUAUUUCAAGCAAGAGAAAGAAGACAUUUUGUUUCAGGUAAAACGAGGAGUUAACACUUAGCUGACACACGUUUAAAGAGCUUCUACAAAUACAACACAAAUACAAGUUUCAAUCAUAAGACCAAGAUAUGAUUAAGAUAGGAAGCAAAGAACAGCUGUUACAGAAAAUCCUUUAACCCUUCAUAUUAGUUGUAAAUCAAAACAGAUGUAAGGCUCUACAAAGAGGCUGAGCAUUACUAAAUCAAAUAAAAUUCCAUCAAGAUUUCCUUAUCAAACUUUCAUACGAAUUCAUAGAGAAACACUUCACUACUUCACAUCAAUCACACCCAAUGCACACCGAGAAAGCAUAUCACAGCAAUCACACCCAAUACACAUCAAAUUAGAAUCUAAGCUAUAAGGAAGGUUUUGUUUUCCCUACCUCAAAUCAAGCAACUAGCAGCCAAAAUCUCCAAGCACACAAGCAUCUAUGCCCAUAGAUGAUAGCAAUCCAAUUUUGAAAGCAAAUACCCAGCUGAUACCCAAGAAAUUCAAGUUCCCUGAUUUGAAAUUCAUGGCACAAAUCAUUCAUCCACUUUAUUGGGUAAUAGCUGAAACAAAACCUAGUUUGAGAAAGAGGAGAUUGAAACUUACAAGACAUUGAAACUUAUAGGAGCUAGCUGCGAAUAGACAAAGAAUUUCAGAUUCUUUGGUAACGAAUUUCAUGGCGAUUCCUCCCUUCUUUCUUGUGAGCUAGUGAAAUCGGUGUUGUUGAUUUAGAGAAGAGAACGAUGAUCAGAGUAGAGACAGAAGUGAAGAGUAGAGGGGAAGAAGAAGAAAAGAAGGGAGAAGAGGAAGAGAGACUGACAAGUUUAUUUUGGAUAAUUCGGCAGGGGACACGUGAAUGAAAUAGAAUGGGCAACGUGUUCCUUUCUAGAUGGGGACUAGAUGAUUCUACACCAAAUUAGAUAUUUUCACCCAAAAUCAAUUAAAUAACUACACACAUAAAAGAUAAUUGAUAGUCUAAAAUAUAGUCAAAACCAAAAUCCUAGUCAGAUAAGAAAACACACAAAAAUAAUUCGAUAAAUAAACCUAAUUAAAAUUGAGAUCAUUACAAGUUGGCAGUUUUGCCAUCUAUAAUUUCCCUGCAUAUGCAUCUGAUGUUUUUCACUGAGAACUCUAUAUAUAUCAUGAUGGUAAGGAUAUCACAAGUGAAGAAUGAAGUCCUGCCAAGAUCUCAUGUGCAUCAGGUAGUCAUGCAUAUGCAUCUCAUGUUUUUCAUUGAGAAUUGCAGCUUUGCUUGUCAUCCUAGAUUGGAUGAUACCUCCUAGUGUAUCUAUCAUAAUCUAUUGGGUCUAUAUGUAUGCAUGUCUAAAUGCUUUUGCUAUUUGUGUAUCAUUAGUUUGAAUUCCCCUGUUUGAAUUCAAAUCCCCUUUAGCAAAACAUUUGUCGUUGCCUUUGUGCUUCAAGUCUGUCUAGGGUUGUGUAGUGUUUCCAACCUGUGACCACAUGACUACAGCUUAGAGGCUCCAGCUAGGUUUGUGAUACACAAACUAAUAUAUUAGCUGGCUCUUUGUUUCAUCUCAUGUACAUCAGGUAGUUUAUGCAUAUGCAUCACAAUAUUCAUUCAAGAUGGCAGCUUUGCUUGCCAUCCAGAUUAGAUGGAUACCCCUGCUAUAUAUAUCAUAUCUGCUGAGUCUGACGAUGUGCAUAUUCAAAUGUAUUUGCUUCAGUUUUUAAGUGUUUGAAUUUCAAAUCCUUUUUAGCAAAACAUUUGUUUAUUCGUACUUGAGCUCCAAGUCAGUCUAGGGUGGUGUGGCAAACCAACUUGUGACCACAUGACUUGAGCCUCAAGGGUCCAGCUAGGUUUUGUUAUACACAAACCAAGUCAGCAGCUGACCCAUGUGAUGCACCACCCAAGCUAUCAGCUGGCUUAUGUGUCCUCAUAUAGGAAUAGGUUUUGUUGUGUCUCUUUCAUUCACAAAACCUUUUGUUUCUUCCUUAUUGGACCAUUAUCAUAUAAGAGAGUUGUGUUUGACUUUACUCUCUUGGAGCCUUUUGUUUGUCCCUAUGGUCCUCUCAUUUUCUGAGUUUGGCCAAAGACUAAAGUCUCAAAGUUGCCUCCCAUUUUGGUAAACGUGCAUGCUCUCCUUUAGCUUGCACUUUGCCUAUAUAUAUAGAACAAGUCUAUUCUUGCUCCCUGGUUGUCAAAAUGUAGUUUUCUACAUUGUUUUAGCUGGGUCUAAGUUUUACCUUAUAUUGUUCAUUUGCCUCUAAGUCUGCCCUUGGUGAUUGUAAAUCUUAGAGCAAGAGCCAAAACUCUUUUCAUAAACCCAUUAGCAUUCUGCAUCUCAUGAGUGAUGGUAGUGCAGCAACCCUAGAAGUAUUCAAGAAUGAUCAGUUGAUAGAGGAGAGCUGAGUUCUAGAGAGUCAGUUAAAGACGUUAGCUGAGGUCUGAAGAAUCUCUCUCAUUAGGAUAACUGAGUUCUGAGUUGAGUAUUCUGAGAAGUGUUCAAGAAAUCAGUUAAAGGCGUUAGCUGAGUUUUAAGUUGAAACUUCUUCUUAUACCUUCAUAUGUAAACACUUGAGAGACAAGAGAGGUAGGUCUAGACUAGUAGGUAGACUAGGCAAGAUAGCAAGUCGUUAUUGUAUCCAUAGACUAUAAUCUUAUGAGGAGUGAGGUGAGUCACUCAAAGACAGGAGAGAUAGAUCUAAACUAGUGAGUAGACUAGGCAGUAUUGCAAAUCGUCGUUGUAUCCCUAGACUAUAAUCUUGUAAAAAGUGAGUUUUACAUAGUGGAAAAGUUUGUACCUCAAGAGUUAGGGGCAUGCAGUUUUUCUCACUAGUGCAGGGUUUUUGUGAAUAAAAAACGUACUGGUGUUAUUUCUUUUACAUUUCAGUACUUGUUCUUUUA